rnacentral:tRNA from 2 species
GACUCCUUAGCUCAGUGGUAGAGCGUGAGAUUCCAGCUUGAUCUGGAGUUUCCUCAAGGUCAUCCGUUCAAUCCGGGUAGGGGUCA